AUGAACGCUGGCGGCGUGCUUAACACAUGCAAGUCGAACGAUUAAAGCUCACUUCGGUGAGUGUAUAGAGUGGCGAACGGGUGAGUAACACGUGGGAAACCUGCCCCUCUCUUCGGGAUAACUUCGGGAAACCGUUGCUAAUACCGGAUACUCCGGGAUGGUCGCAUGGCCGACCCGGGAAAGCUUUAUGUGGAAAGGGAUGGUCCCGCGGCCCAUUAGCUUGUUGGUGGGGUAAUGGCCUACCAAGGCGAUGAUGGGUAGCCG
rnacentral:rRNA from 1 species